UGGGGAAUAUUGCACAAUGGGCGCAAGCCUGAUGCAGCAACGCCGCGUGAGCGAUGAAGGCCUUCGGGUCGUAAAGCUCUGUCCUCAAGGAAGAUAAUGACGGUACUUGAGGAGGAAGCCCCGGCUAACUACGUGCCAGCAGCCGCGGUAAUACGUAGGGGGCUAGCGUUAUCCGGAUUUACUGGGCGUAAAGGGUGCGUAGGCGGUCUUUCAAGUCAGGAGUUAAAGGCUACGGCUCAACCGUAGUAAGCUCCUGAUACUGUCUGACUUGAGUGCAGGAGAGGAAAGCGGAAUUCCCAGUGUAGCGGUGAAAUGCGUAGAUAUUGGGAGGAACACCAGUAGCGAAGGCGGCUUUCUGGACUGUAACUGACGCUGAGGCACGAAAGCGUGGGGAGCAAACA
rnacentral:rRNA from 1 species